GAUGAACGCUAGCUACAGGCUUAACACAUGCAAGUCGAGGGGAAACGACAUCGAAAGCUUGCUUUUGAUGGGCGUCGACCGGCGCACGGGUGAGUAACGCGUAUCCAACCUGCCCAUCAUUUGAGAAUAACCUUGCGAAAGUAAGACUAAUACCCAAUGACAUCCCACGAAGACAUCUGAAUGGGAUUAAAGAUUUAUCGGUGAUGGAUGGGGAUGCGUCUGAUUAGCUUGUUGGCGGGGUAACGGCCCACCAAGGCAACGAUCAGUAGGGGUUCUGAGAGGAAGGUCCCCCACAUUGGAACUGAGGCACGGUCCAAACUCCUACGGGAGGCAGCAGUGAGGAAUAUUGGUCAAUGGGCGAGAGCCUGAACCAGCCAAGUAGCGUGCAGGAUGACGGCCCUAUGGGUUGUAAACUGCUUUUAUAAGGGAAUAAAGUGGGUCUCGUGAGACUUUUUGCAUGUACCUUAUGAAUAAGGACCGGCUAAUUCCGUG
rnacentral:rRNA from 1 species